rnacentral:rRNA from 1 species
GAGUUUGAUCGUGGCUCAGAACGAACGUUGGCGGCGUGGUUGAGGCAUGCAAGUCGCACGAGAACGAGGUAGCAAUAUCUCAAGUAAAGUGGCGGAAGGGUGAGGAAUGGGUAGAUGACGUACCCUGAAGAUGGGGGAUAACGGCUCGAAAGAGCCGCUAAUACCCGAUGAGACCACGACUUUAAUAGGUUGGGGUCAAAGGCCGGGGAUCUUCGGACCUGGCGCUUUAGGAUCGGUCUGCUUCCUACCAGCUAGUUGGUGAGGUAAUGGCUCACCAAGGCUGCGACGGGUA